ACUACUGCAUGUGUCGGGCUCUUAUGCGCAGGCUAGGUGGGAGGCUUUGAUCGUAUGCUCGUGGGUUUAGUGGAGCCAUCGGUGAGAUACCACUCUGUAGGAGCUAGAAUUCUAAUGGCCUUCCUUGAAGCAGGACGCUUGACGUUUUCGGGGGGGCAUUUUGACGGGGGCGGCCCCCUCCUAAAAGGUAACGAAGGUGUGCAAAGGUUCCCUCAGGCUGGAGGGAAAUCACCCAUAAAUGGUAAAGGCAAAACGGAGCUUGACUGCAAAACCUACAAUUCAAGCAGGAGCAAAAGCCGGCUUUAUGGAUCCAACGGUUCCAUGUGAAAGGGCCGCCCCUAACCGAAUAAAAUUUACUCUAGGAUAAACAGGUUAA
rnacentral:rRNA from 1 species